rnacentral:rRNA from 1 species
UACGUAGGGUGCGAGCGUUAAUCGGAAUUAUUGGGCGUAAAGCGCGCGUAGGCGGUCCUUUAAGUCUGAUGUGAAAGCCCACGGCUCAACCGUGGAGGGUCAUUGGAAACUGGGGGACUUGAGUGCAGAAGAGGAAAGUGGAAUUCCACGUGUAGCGGUGAAAUGCGUAGAGAUGUGGAGGAACACCAGUGGCGAAGGCGACUUUCUGGUCUGUAACUGACGCUGAGGCGCGAAAGCGUGGGGAGCAAACAGG